UUUUGUUUUAAUGAAGAAGAAAACUAAAGAAACACUUAAUUGGAAACUUUCCAACAGGCUUUAUUUGAUGUUCAGUGGCUGGACUAUUCAAAUGCAAGAGGAAACUGGAAAAAUAGUCUGUGCAACUGCCAUAUACAUGUCAUAGAAUCAUAGAAUCAUAGAAUGGCCUGGGUUGAAAAGGACCUCAAAGAUCACCUGGUUUCAACCCCCUUGCUGUGGGCACAGUUGCCAACCACUUGACCAGGCUGCCCAGAGCCAUCUCCAGUCUGGCCUCGAAUGCCUCCAGGAAUGGAGCAUAUAUGAUUCUUGCUUUACUAAAUGUACAGUGUUUUAUACACCUGGAGAUACACUGAGAUUCACCAAAUUACUAUGAAAUCAUCUGUACAUUGAAACUGACAUCAUUUGCUUCUAUAACAUUAUUCUAAACAGAAUGUUUGCCUUUUUGUCUGGGAAUCUGGAGCAAGAAAAAGGAACAGGAGUUUGCUUCCUUGAAAAGCUAAAGUAAAAAUCAGAUGAACGGCUGUGAAGAGAAGAUGCUGGAAGGCUGCACGAGGUCCCAUGUGAUGUCCAACAGCUCUGCAGACUGGAUUUGACCAAUCGCCACUCUGGGAAAAGCUGAUGAAUUGAAAUCUGAAGAAAUACUUUCAACAGACUCUUCCUGCCUGUGUGCUGUUAUUGCUAACAGUCAUGAGAACCAGAAGCCAGUCAUGAGACUUCUGAUAGGCUUAGAGCAGAGAGGAUGAGAAAGGAUGCUGCAGGAGUCCUUGGCCAUAAUACUUUGCAACUGAAAAAUGAAAACUAUUGCUGAAUGAUUCUUCUGCCUCGUAACUUGGAUGAUGGGGUUUUCUGAAGAAAAUAGGCGAAGACAAAGAAAUUGGAGUUUAUACAGACAAAACCCACGCACAAGAUGGAGGAGCAAAGAAGAUCCCUAUUUCAUAGCCAGAGAACUGAGACAGAAAGAAACAGAAUGUUUUCCUCCAGUUUUUCAGAAUACAUCACUAGAACUCUAAGAAAAAUCCUGAAAUGUACAUCAUGAGAAGCAGAUUUAUGGUGAUUUAUGAGAAUUUGGAAAUGGAGAUUUGUCCUUAAUUGAUGCUUUGGUUACUCUUUAAACCACACCCAGAAAUCUAUACUGACUGUUGCUGAGAAUGUAUUGUAAGAGUUGUAAGCAAACACUGAUUCACCCAAGUCAGUGAAAUGAAAUUCACUGUAUUGCAAAGAAUUUGGCUAUAAUGAAUUUUCUUAUGAAGUAAGAAGGGGAAUAAGAAACUUGCAGCUGUGGUUUUCAUUGUUAGUUUUUAAGAUAUUUGAGCAGGGGAAUCUCAAGCUUCUUUCAAUACAGAAAAAUGUCAAUGUUUCAUUGAAGUCCUCACAAACAUGCAAGGAUAAAUAUUGCUACUCUGUUCUCAGAGAAUGUAGCUGAAGCCUGUAUUCUGUAUGCUGUGCAGAGGCCGACAGCAAGCAUUAGAAAACUACUACUCAGCCACCAGCAACUUUUCCUGAACAGCAGUUGCACAUUUGUAGCAGUCUGAGUUGGCCCUUUUAGGGUUUAUGCUACACUGAUGGACUGACAGAGAAGAUUGCUUGUCAUGUGCUAACUUCAGGUUGAUUUCUGCUUCUUCCGUGAACGAACAGGGCAUUGGGUUUCUUUAGACCUAAAGAAAAGAAAGUGAUUUAUGCAGGUUUAUGAGGAAAAUGUAUAGCAGACAACUAGGAAUAUACUUAUGCCUUAAUUACAAAUUCCUGUUGUCUCAUGUUGUAGGGUUAGAGUAGAACAGGAGUCUAUGCUCUGAUGUUAAAACUUCCCGCCACAGCCAGCAAUUCUAAAAUCUGUUGCUAGCAAAAAAGAGUUCUUUUAUAUUUAGAGGGAACUAUGGAUGCAGAAAAACAAAUAAUUCACAUUAGACACACUUUUCUCUUUUUGUAGCCCCUAUUUCUUUUCUGCUAACACUUAUGUACAUUCUGUGCUUGUUCCUCACACCCUUCUUACUCACUUCAACUUACCUUGGG
ensembl:lncRNA